AGCUUUGUUUCUAGGAGAUGCAAUCUUAGCAGCUUUCCUGGUCCUCUGCCUCUUAGGGUCUUUCCUCUUCUGAAAUGUUCGCUGAGUCUUAGGGGCAGGAGCCGUGUUGUAGAUGUGUCUAUCGGGAUGGACUUCCCACAGUCAGGUGAUCUCUGCAUCAUGACCAGUUGUGGUUUUCUGUGAUGGUCUCUGCUUGCUGCAAAGAAAACCUUCUUUGAUGUGGGAUGAGAGCUACAGUUAUCUGUGGGAAUAAGGGUUCUUAGAGGCAAGGCCAUAAUUGGCUGGAGCAAGGACCCCUAAUUGUCCCCAAAUUAGUGGCUGUGAUUGGUCCAAGCAUCUCCUCAAGCUGCUUAGCGUCACUGGGGGAGUCAUUGAAGCUGCACGUGAAAUCUAAUGAAGCCUUCGCUCAAGCAGAUUUCAGUGUGACCUGAGCUGGUACAGCGCCAAAGAGGCGGAGAGUGAGAAACAAAGAGAAAGCAACAAUGUGGCUUGAAAGCUGAGCAGGUGUCUGCCCCAAGUCACAUGGGAUCCGGCAUCGCUUGCCUUGUGACCCCUGAUGCUGGACUCCAGAGCCGCCCAGUUUAUAUUACUGCACUCCUGGCCCCAACUUCCAGACAUGCUAUCCUGAACAACCCGACUUGUAACUGGCGCUCAGUUCUUCCUGGACCCCAGUUCCUAGGGCAGAGAAUUGAACUACUGAAUAUCUGCCUACCUGCAGCACCCACUGCCUUAACCUACCCAACUGUAUCAAUGGCUGCCCAGGGAGCCCAUUGACCACUGGGAUCCUGCUUGCUGGCCAAUGGGAGCGGAUGCCUAUCCCUGAGUAUUCCAGCCAUGCCCUGUGCCCAGUUCCUGAAUGUCCCACAGAAGCCCCAGCUUGCACCCCACCCAGCUGCUGAACAGUUUUGACAGAGGAAGAUAUUCCAAAUAGGUUGUGACAGCAGCCACUGAAUAAACAAAUAAACACA